UUAAAAAGAAAAAAAAUGAAGCCAGCUGGUUUGGGCUACCCAGAUGGGCUGGGCUGGAUGGUCCGCACGGGUUGCGCGGGAUAAAGCCCACGAGAGUCGCAAGCUAGGAUUAGGCCAUUUGGGCCAUCCACAGGCCCGUCUGCAGGCUUGUCUGCAUGGGCAGACAAGUGGGAAUCCUGGGCCAUGGGUUGGGCACGAGGCAUGCAAUCCUAUGUUUGCGCAUAUGCGCAGGGUUGCGCGCAUGCCGCUCGGGUCUUGUAUGUAUGCAGCACGUGGGGCAUACGGGCUGUUCUAGCUGCAUGCUCGCUUACUACUUUACGCGUGCAAGUUAUCCACCUACACAGGUAGAUCAUAAUGCUUGUUACUCAUGUGCCAAAGGUAGUUUAUGCAUACUGCACGUGUUUUCUAUCUUCGCACUAUGCAUUGGACCUCUCUUUGUGCUCCGUCAUUGAUCGUGUUGCUCAUCCAAUCUUGGAGGAGCAAAUUGAAAAUUACUUGAAGCAUACAGGUCUGACUUUAAGUAAUCGAGCCUACAGGCAACCGAGCAUGUUUUUCUGUUAGGCCUAAU
rnacentral:lncRNA from 1 species